UACGGGGGGAGCAAGCGUUGUUCGGAUUUACUGGGCGUAAAGGGCGCGUAGGUGGCGCAACAAGUCACUUGUGAAAUCUCCGGGCUUAACCCGGAGCGGCCAAGUGAUACUGUCGUGCUAGAGUGCGGAAGGGGCUACUGGAAUUCUCGGUGUAGCGGUGAAAUGCACAGAUAUAUAGAAGAACAUCAAUAACGGCGAAGGCAGUUAACUAUUCUGUUACUGACACUGAGGCACGAAAGCGUGGGGAGCAAAACGG
rnacentral:rRNA from 1 species